rnacentral:rRNA from 1 species
UACGAAGGGUGCAAGCGUUACUCGGAAUUACUGGGCGUAAAGCGUGCGUAGGUGGUUGUUUAAGUCUGUCGUGAAAGCCCUGGGCUCAACCUGGGAACUGCGAUGGAAACUGGGCGACUAGAGUGUGGUAGAGGGUAGCGGAAUUCCUGGUGUAGCAGUGAAAUGCGUAGAUAUCAGGAGGAACAUCCAUGGCGAAGGCAGCUACCUGGGCCAACACUGACACUGAGGCACGAAAGCGUGGGGAGCAAACAGGAUUAGAUACCCUGGUAGUCCACGCCCUAAACGAUGCGAACUGGAUGUUGGGUGCACUUUGGCACGCAGUAUCGAAGCUAACGCGUUAAGUUCGCCGCCUGGGGAGUACGGUCGCAAGACUGAA